rnacentral:pre_miRNA from 1 species
GAUUUGUACAGGGAAGUUACAGGCAGCUCUCCUUUGGCAGGAGGGAGGAUGAUACUAUGAUUCAUGAUUGAAGCCUGCGCAUUAGUUAUACAAUACAUAUGUAUAUUUGUUCACAAUAGAGAUCGUAGAGCAUUUUAAAUUUAUGUUGUUACAUAUAGUAGUGAAUUGGUCCGAUGUCCAGCUUUGUCCAGUAAUUAGACUGCCGUUCCUGCAUGCCAAAGGAGAAUUGUCCUGCGACUGCACUGUACAAUGC